CCUACGGGUGGCUGCAGUGGGGAAUAUUGGGCAAUGGAGGCAACUCUGACCCAGCAACGCCGCGUGAAUGAUGAAGGUCUUCGGAUUGUAAACCUCUUUUGUCGGGGAACAAAGGCGCCCACGGGUGGGCGGAUGAGUGUACCCGAAGAAAAAGCAUCGGCUAACUCCGUGCCAGCAGCCGCGGUAAUACGGAGGAUGCGAGCGUUAUCCGGAUUUAUUGGGUUUAAAGGGUGCGUAGGCGGACAGUCAAGUCAGCGGUAAAAAUGCGGUGCUCAACGCCGUACAGCCGUUGAAACUGGCAGUCUUGAGUGGGCGAGAAGUAUGCGGAAUGCGUGGUGUAGCGGUGAAAUGCAUAGAUAUCACGCAGAACUCCGAUUGCGAAGGCAGCAUACCGGCGCCCGACUGACGCUGAGGCACGAAAGCGUGGGUAUCGAACAGGAUUAGAUACCCCAGUAGUC
rnacentral:rRNA from 1 species